rnacentral:rRNA from 1 species
GAUGAACGCUAGCGACAGGCUUAACACAUGCAAGUCGAGGGGGCAGCAUAAAACUAGCUUGCUAGUUUUGAUGGCGACCGGCGCACGGGUGAGUAACGCGUAUCCGACCUACCCAUAACACGGGCACAGCCGCUCGAAAGAGUGAUUGAUUCCCGAUAUGUCCUUGGAGUAGAUUCAAUGAUGAAAGAUUUAUCGGUUAUGGAUGGGGAUGCGUAAGAUUAGGUAGUAGGCGGGGUAACGGCCCACCUAGCCGACGAUCCUUAGGGGUUCUGAGAGGAAGGUCCCCCCACACUGGAACUGAGACACGGUCCAGACUCCUACGGGAGGCAGCAGUGAGGAAUAUUGGUCAAUGGCCGGGAGGCUGAACCAGCCAAGUAGCGUGAAGGAUGAAGGUUCUAUGGAUUGUAAACUUCUUUUGCGAGGGAGCAAUAAGGCGCACGUGUGCGUCGAUGAGAGUACCUCGCGAAUAAGCAUCGGCUAACUCCGUGCC